CACACAUAUGAAACUGUCACAUUUGGCAACAUGACACAGCUAAAGUUAACACAUUGGCAUAACAAAUACUGCCACAGAGUUUCUUCACAAGACUUGGAGCUCUACCAGCCAGCGACAAACAGACAGAAGAUGGCAUCUUUAAAAUAGCAGAUGAGGAAGAUUCAACCAAAGUGGAAUUAUAAAAUGUCCCGUGGAUCCCUCUAGACUCCUACAUGCUGGCUAAACCUCUCUGCACUGUGAAAGCUGGAGAGAUCUUGUACCUGCCCUCCUCGUGGUCCCACCACUGCUCUUUUUUUUUUUUUUUUUUUUGUCUUGGCAGUGAAUUUCUGGUAUGACAUGGAAUAUGAUAUGAAGUACAAUUACUUCCUUGACAAAUGCUGUUGAGAUGUGCAUGCACAUUUUUAGUGAUCUAGAAUAAAUAUUGCAAUAAACAAUACAGUUUAA